rnacentral:rRNA from 1 species
UACGAAGGGGGCUAGCGUUGUUCGGAUUUACUGGGCGUAAAGCGCACGUAGGCGGUUUGUUAAGUCAGGGGUGAAAUCCCACAGCUCAACUGUGGAACUGCCUUUGAUACUGGCAAGCUAGAGUCCGGAAGAGGUAAGUGGAACUCCUAGUGUAGAGGUGGAAUUCGUAGAUAUUUAGGAAGAACACCAGUGGCGAAGGCGGCUUACUGGUCCGGAACUGACGCUGAGGUGCGAAAGCGUGGGGAGCAAACAGG